GAAGGUAUAGCUCAGGAGCAGAGCGCAUGCUUAGCAUGCAUGAGGUCCUGGGUUCAAUCCCCAGUACCUCUG
rnacentral:tRNA from 1 species